UAUAACUAAAUCGAAAAAUGGUUUUGUUCCUCUGAGACUUAUUGAUAUAUAAGUAAGCAAGUUUUACAGAAAACAAUGGGCUUGCAGAGGUGUACGAGUAUGUAGGUUCUAUUUACUCUCAUAAUGGUGGAAUAAAAAAAAUUGUGGGUUUGUUGAUGUUCCGUCUGUAUCCUGUUUUGUUCCUGUCAUGUAUGUAUCCUGUCCAGUUAUCGUCAUGUCACCCAUGUCGAGUGUAUCAUGUUUAGUUACUGGCAUGUCUCUCAUGUUGACUGUAUCCUGUUUAGUUCCUGAUAUAUCUCCUGUCAGUCUGUGUAUUCAGAAUCUUGCUCACCAGUAAUUGCAAGAUUGGUGUUGGUUGUAGGCCAAGCUUACAAUUAUCUAGUAACUUUUGGUAAGAUGACGAUAGGUGGUACGUUUUUAUAAAUUGUAUUUUAAAAAUAGAAGUUUAGAAUUUAAAAUUCAAAUGUUUAAGUGUAGUUCAUAUUAUAGAAAU
rnacentral:lncRNA from 1 species